GAUAGCAUUGUGGAACCACUUGAAACCAUGCCGAACUCAGAUGUGAAACGCAAUAGCGCCGAUGAUAGUGUGGGGUUUCCCCAUGUGAAAGUAGGUCACUGCCA
rnacentral:rRNA from 1 species